UACGUAGGGGGCAAGCGUUGUCCGGAUUUAUUGGGCGUAAAGAGCGUGUAGGCGGUUUGGUAGGUCCGCUGUGAAAACUCGAGCUCAACCUCGAGACGCCGGUGGAAACCAUCAGACUAGAGUCCGGAAGAGGAGAGUGGAAUUCCUGGUGUAGCGGUGAAAUGCGCAGAUAUCAGGAAGAACACCAAUGGCGAAGGCAGCACUCUGGGACGGUACUGACGCUGAGACGCGAAAAGCGUGGGGAGCAAACAGG
rnacentral:rRNA from 1 species